rnacentral:tRNA from 1 species
UGGGGCGUAGCCAAGCGGUAAGGCAGCGGCCUUUGGAGCCGCCAUUCGGAGGUUCGAUCCCUCCCGCCCCAG